rnacentral:piRNA from 1 species
UACAUAGGCAAGGAGGUGCUUUUGUGUCCC